ACGCUCGACACCUACGGGAGCAGCAGUCGGGAAUAUUGCGCAAUGGAGGAAACUCUGACGCAGUGACGCCGCGUGCAGGAAGAAGGUUUUCGGAUUGUAAACUGCUUUAGACAGGGAAGAAAAAAGACAGUACCUGUAGAAUAAGCUCCGGCUAACUACGUGCCAGCAGCCGCGGUAAUCUGAGCGGGCUGGCAAGGC
rnacentral:rRNA from 1 species